rnacentral:rRNA from 1 species
UACGUAGGCAGCAAGCGUUGUUCGGAAUUACUGGGCGUAAAGCGUGCGUAGGCGGUUGGCCAAGUUUGGUGUGAAAUCUCCCGGCUCAACUGGGAGGGUGCGCCGAAAACUGGCCGGCUAGAGUGCGGGACAGGGAAGUGGAAUUCCUGGUGUAGCGGUGAAAUGCGUAGAUAUCAGGAGGAACGCCUGUGGUGUAGACGGCUUCCUGGACCGUGACUGACGCUGAGGCACGAAAGCGUGGGGAGCACACAGG